GUGGGAAGGCUUAGACAGCUAGGAGGUUGGCUUAGAAGCAGCCACCCUUCAAAGAAAGCGUAAUAGCUUACUAGUCGAGUCGGCCUGCGCGGAAGAUGUAACGGGGCUCAAACCAUACACUGAAGCUAAGGGUAUCACUGAGGUGAUGCGGUAGAGGAGCGUUCUGUAAGCCUGCGAAGGUGAGUUGAGAAGCUUGCUGGAGGUAUCAGAAGUGCGACUGCUGACAUGAGUAACGACACUGGGUGUGCAAAACACCACCGCCGAAA
rnacentral:rRNA from 1 species